AAGCGUGCUGUAUUUGCGUUCGUGCGUUUAAGUUUUAGUUUAUGUGCCUUUAAGUUUAUGUGCUCUAACGUCUAGCCAAUCAGCGCCGCCCGCAUCACUCGGGUUUGGCUUACUUCCUUGGUUUCCUAUACGUCCUUUAGUUGUAGUUGCAUUGACUUUAAGUUUAGUAUGCACGUUUAGUUUACAGCCAGCUUUAUAUAUUCGCUUUAAGUUUAUCGUUUCACCAAUUAUUCUUUCCUAUUCCAGAUGUAUAAGUUAUUAAAUCCAAAAUGAUGGUAUCAUAUUAAUAGCCGCAAACAGUUUAAAACCAUCCGUUAAUAAACAAAUCAAAAGGGAUGCGUUGUCUAAUGCGGCAACAAUAAAA